rnacentral:lncRNA from 1 species
UCUCCUCUUCUUAUAUAUAUAUAGAGUUGAGCUAGAAAACUAUCGGUAGCAAACGGGCUCCAUUGCCACCAAUUUGUUUUCGAUGAUAGAGCCUCCAAAUCGACGAUCGGCACCGUUGGAAAUGAUCUAUACCACUUGAAGUAUCUAGAAAUCAAAUUUCAUACUUUUUCGAUAUUGUUUUCUUGUCCAUCAAGUAAGCGUAAAAAUGAAUGGCUGAAAAUGAAUAUCCUUUAAAAAGUGAUGAUAGGAGUUUGUAAUCAAGAUCGAGAGAAUAGAUCUUGUUCUAAAUAGUUUAAAGAAUUUUCUGACCAAAAUUCAAUUGAUUCGGAUAGCUUUACACCGUUAAACGGAAAAAUGUCUCAUAUCUACCAUUAAAACUACAAUUUUUGAAACCCUUUGAUCAUUAGACCAAUGAUGUCGAAAAGAUUUGAAAUUUGGUUUCUAGAUACGUUAAGUGGUGCAGAUCAUGUUCAACGGUACCGAUCGUCGCUUUGGAGGCUCCAUCAUCGAAAAUAAAUAGGUGGCAACAGAGCUCGUUUGCUACCGAUAGCAUUCCAGCUCAACUCUAUAUAUAUAUAUAUAUGUAUAUAUAUAUAUAUAUAUAUAUAUAUAUAUAUAUAUAUAUAUAUAUAUAUAUAUAUAUAUAUAUAUAUAUAUAUAUAUAUAUAUAUAUAUAUAUUAUUUAUAAAUAUUAUUUAUAGAUUAUAUAGUAAUUAAUUUUAUAGUAUCGAUUAUAUAUACUAUUAUAUAUUAUAUUAAAUAUUUAUAGUAUAAUAUAUUUUAAAUAUAUUUUAUUUAUAAAUAUAAACUAUAAUAUCAAUAUAUGUAAUAUGAUAAUUAUUAUAUAUCAAUAAUAUAUAAUAUAUAAAAUAAGAAAAAAAACAUAUGAUAGUUUUUUAUUUAUAUAUAUUUUUUUCCUUUCAACCAAACAACUUUCUUUUCCUACAAACCAAAUACAAAAAAAUGUAAAACUUAUUUUCCUCCAAAAGAAAAAAUUUCCACCAAAAUUUUUACCAAACACACCCUAAAGUCUUUCCACUUUUUAUCAUUUUAUAUGCAAAAGAAAACUAUUAAUAACUAAUUUUUGGGAUGAACUUUAAUCAUGAAUCAAAUUAGAUUAAUCUUCUGAGAAAAGAUGUUGUUAACACACAUUGAUAUGUAGAGAGAUGCUAUUACCAAUAAUUGAGUUGUUGUAUACCGACCGUCCCUAGGGCAAGUGGCAAAGGGCUUGAUGGUUGGUAUCCGAGACCCAAGUUUGAAUCCUAGUUGAUUCACAUUUCCAGCUAAGUUUAUUUCUAAAUGAAAUAAAUAAAGCGGGUAGCGUGCUACCUAUCUCUCAAAAAAAAAAUAAUUGAAUUGUUGUAUCAAUAGUGGGACACGUUAGGAUCUAUAAUCAGAAUAAAUAUACUUUUUAAUAUUUUAUUCUUUUAUAGUGUUUUUUUAAUAUUUUUUAAAUUUAUUUAUCAAGAUUAAUUUAUUUAACAAC